rnacentral:rRNA from 1 species
GUAGGGUGCAAGCGUUAUCCGGAAUCAUUGGGCGUAAAGAGCUCGUAGGCGGUUCAGCAAGUCGGCUGUGAAAUCCCGAGGGCUUAACCUCGGAACUGCAGUCGAUACUGCUGUGACUGGAGUCCGGUAGAGGAGAAUGGAAUUCCCGGUGUAGCGGUGAAAUGCGCAGAUAUCGGGAGGAACACCAGUAGCGAAGGCGGUUCUCUGGGCCGGUACUGACGCUGAGGAGCGAAAGCGUGGGUAGCAAACAGGAUUAGAUACCCUGGUAGUCCACGCCGUAAACGUUGGACACUAGGUGUGGCGUUCCGACCAACGGGUGCCGUGCCGAAGCUAACGCAUUAAGUGUCCCGCCUGGGGAGUACGGCCGCAAGGCUA